rnacentral:misc_RNA from 1 species
UGGAAUUGAAGAAAUGGAAGUUGAAAUCAUUUCAAAAGAAAUUGUCAAACCCUCUUCUUCAACACCGAAGCACCUAACAACGUAUAACCUCUGUCUCCUUGAUCAAUUAGCUCCCCCAGUUUACAUUCCAAUCAUUCUCUUUUAUUCAGCAAGCAGUGAAAAUUUCUGCAAAAAAUCUCAUCACCAGCUGAAAACAUCCUUCUCAGAGACAUUAACCCAUUUCUAUCCUUUCGCCGGACGACUUAAAGACUGCUUUUCUGUUGACUGCAAUGAUGAAGGUGCUCCAUUUGUUGAAGCACACGUAGCUGGAGAAAUGUCUAUGAUACUUGAAGAACCGGAAAACAUCAACUGGAAAAGCUACUGCCAUGUAACCCACAUGACGUCUCACCUGAGAUAAGCUCUCAGGUAAUUGCAGCAGCCCAAGUGAAUUACUUUGAUUGCGGUGGAAUGGCAGUGAGUGUUUGUAUUUGGCAUGCAAUUGCGGAUUC